rnacentral:tRNA from 1 species
UCCUGGUGGCUCAGAUGGUAAAGCGUCUGUCUACAAUGCAGGAGACCCAGGUUCAAUCCUUGGGUCAGGAA